rnacentral:rRNA from 1 species
UACGGAGGGGGCUAGCGUUGUUCGGAAUUACUGGGCGUAAAGCGCGCGUAGGCGGACCUGCAAGUCGGGGGUGAAAGCCCGAGGCUCAACCUCAGAACUGCCUUCGAUACUGCGGGUCUCGAGUCCGGGAGAGGUGAGUGGAAUUCCUAGUGUAGAGGUGAAAUUCGUAGAUAUUAGGAAGAACACCAGUGGCGAAGGCGGCUCACUGGCCCGGUACUGACGCUGAGGCGCGAAAGCGUGGGGAGCAAACAGG